AGUGAACGCUGGCGGUAGGCCUAACACAUGCAAGUCGAACGGCAGCACAGUAAGAGCUUGCUCUUACGGGUGGCGAGUGGCGGACGGGUGAGGAAUACAUCGGAAUCUACUUUUUCGUGGGGGAUAACGUAGGGAAACUUACGCUAAUACCGCAUACGACCUACGGGUGAAAGCAGGGGAUCUUCGGACCCUGCGCGAUUGAAUGAGCCGAUGUCGGAUUAGCUAGUUGGCGGGGUAAAGGCCCACCAAGGCGACGAUCCGUAGCUGGUCUGAGAGGAUGAUCAGCCACACUGGAACUGAGACACGGUCCAGACUCCUACGGGAGGCAGCAGUGGGGAAUAUUGGACAAUGGGCGCAAGCCUGAUCCAGCCAUACCGCGUGGGUGAAGAAGGCCUUCGGGUUGUAAAGCCCUUUUGUUGGGAAAGAAAAGCAGCGGGUUAAUACCCCGCUGUUCUGACGGUACCCAAAGAAUAAGCACCGGCUAACUUCGUG
rnacentral:rRNA from 1 species